AUUAACAGAGGCCGGAUCCCUAAUUUCUGAGGAGCCAGUUCUCUGGCAGGAGACAGAAGUUUAACAGCUGGCUUUAUUAGGACUUGGUCUCUAAACAAAGGAGUUGAGUAGGCCCAAGCCUGACUUGGGUAGAGAGCACGGGUUGCUCUUCCAGGGAACCUAAAUUACUUGGCAGCUUGCAACCCUUUGUCACUCCAACAGGGAAUCUGACGUUCUCUUCUGGCCUCUGUGAACAUUGCACACACACACUUGCAAGCAAAAUACUCAUCCACAUUAAGGUUAAUAAAUCUUUAAAGAAUAUUUCCAAGUCAAUUCAGCCACAGUAUUUUUAAAAAUGAAGAAAACUAAGCUAAAAAAAAUGAACAUUGCUAAACUAUAACAUGGAGGCAGGGGUGACUUUUAGUUUAACCAUCUGAUUUUUUUCCCCUUCAAAACAAGGCUAUCGGCGGAAAAAAAAAAAAAAAAAAAAAACAAGGCUAUCAUUCAAAGUCACUGUGUGAAGCAAGCCAGGACAACCAGGGCUGUUACACAAAAAAACUUUGUCACACAUUUUAAAACUCAAGGGGGUACAACUGGACAAUGUGCAGAGAGUGGGAGAGUUUGGGACAGUCACUUCUAAAUCUAUGCUGAAGAGGAGGCAGAAAGAUUGUAAGAGCUGGAGGUGCUGGAGGAGUCCAAGGAAACUGUCUUCCGGUCCCAGCAGGACUGAUGCUCCUAUGACCUCACAGAGACUGGGGCAGCACACACAGGGCUAAGCAGGUUCAAGCCAGGGGUCCCAGUCCUGAGACGGGGAAGGGCACACAGGCUCCCACCCCUAACCCGGAAGCUAUCUGCAAUCAACCUCACUGAACCUUCCCCUAUUUUAACUAGGUCAGAUAAAGGCUAGAGCCUGUGAUUGGGCAAUGGAAGGGAAAGGCAGGGCUGGAGGUUUUAGAGAGUGGGGAAAGAAAGGAAGGCGGGGAAGACGGAGGGAGAGGAGAGGGAAGUGAAGUUGGAGCAGAACCAUCUGGCCCGGAGAAGCCGCAAGUAACAAGGGAUCUCAGAGCUGGGGAAUAGUAUAGAGGUGAAUCUGCCCAAUCUAGGUGUGCAGCUUAUAAAUUCUGUAACCGAGUUGUGUGGUUUUGCAGGGACAUAUUGGGGCAAUUUACCACAACGAUUGACGCCCAUCAUAUCGAUUAGAACCCAACUAACAUAAAAGUCCACUGCCUCUCCCCACACCCUCAAUACUCCACUGGGGCAACAAUCUAAGGCUGCAGCAAUGUGUGGAUGGAAAGCUGACUGGGUCUGAGGUGCCUAUAGAGAGCUGCAGAGAGGCUCCUCCCCCAAGUCCAGGGCAGGCAGUUACAGCCAGGGGCAGCAUCCCAGACUGGAGCUGGACUUAGGCAUUGCUCUAUAGGAUUCCCAGGAAGGGACAGGGGACCCUGGAGGGCAACUGCCUGUGAGGAAUUCUUCGGGCAGACACAGAGCUAGCUGACCAGGGCUUCUACGCCUGAGGAAACCUUUCUGUGCUCGCUCCCCGUAUCCCCCGAGUCAACACUGAAUACAGGACAGCCAGACUGGCUUUCCCAACUGCUUGCGCUGCAGGCGCCUGAGAUCAGCACACAAGCACAUGCUGCCAGCUGCAACCCAAACAAAAGAGAGUCAGCUUAGAAGCACAGAAGACUGGGGUUUUCUGUCAACCUCUCCCUGUAAAUAAAAGAAUCAGAGGACUGCAUUGUCCUGAAUCGAACAGUAGGGGGAGAUAAAGGUACAAAGGGCUCCGGAGCAGGCAUUGUGCCUACACAACUCAUCUAAGACUCCCAGGCCAGUCCUUCCGUGACUGCCACUGCAGACAGUUGAGGAUGGUGGAGCAGCACAAGUUAAGGGCCAGAUCGUAAACCACGGUUGUAUUAGAGUCUGAUUCACUUAAAGUGUUUUUAAUUUACUCAAAUAAAAACGAAUAAGAAUAAUUAA